rnacentral:rRNA from 1 species
UAAUACAGAGGUGGCGAACGUUGUUCGGAUUCACUGGGCGUAAAGGGUGCGUAGGUGGUUUCGUGUGUCGGAUGUGAAAUCCCACUGCACAACGGUGGAACGGCGUCCGAAACUGCGAGGCUAGAGUGCAGGUGAGGAGAGCGGAACUCUUGGUGCAGCGGUGAAAUGCGUUGAUAUCAAGAAGAACGCCGGUGGCGAAGGCGGCUCUCUGGAAUGCAACUGAUACUGAGGCACGAAAGCUGGGGGAGCAAACAGGAUUAGAUACCCUGGUAGUCCCAGCCUUAAACGGUGUCACUUGGUGUAGGGGGAAUUAACCCCCCCUGUGCCGGAGCGAACGCGUUAAGUGCACCGCCUGGGGAGUACGGCCGCAAGGCUAAAACUCAAAGAAAUUGACGGGGGCCCGCACAAGCGGUGGAGCAUGUGGCUUAAUUCGAUGCAACGCGAAGAACCUUACCAGUGCUUGACAUGCAGCUGCAGGCCCCGGGAAACCGGGGCGGCCUUCGAAGGUGCUGCACAGGUGCUGCAUGGCUGUCGA